rnacentral:lncRNA from 1 species
AAAAAAGGAUUAGAGUGAGAGCAGACGUUAAAAACAGUGAUAAACAUUUGAGCGACAAUGGCAGGAAAUAAGAAGGUUGUGAGGCUCAUGUCUAGCUGUUAUCCGUUGGAAGUGAACACCAAAAUGCCGAAAUUGGAAGAUGAAGAUGUAACCACCGAGUUCACAUACUCCCUCGGUAACACCCGCGUAACUAUGAAGAUAACCGAAGUGAUUUCCUCCUCCGGUGGUGUAAAACAAGUGUACAUCGACUUCUGCGAGAACAGUGGCAAGGGUUCUUUGGCUAAGCUGAACCUGCGACUCUCGGAAAACAAGAGGUACGGCAUUUUAUGCAAUUUCAUGAACACUUCAUUCGAGGGGUCCUAUAAUUCGAAGAAGAAUCAUUACUACGCGCCACCUUUACCUGAGAGAGAAGUGCUUACUUACUAUAGUCUUGAGAGUGGUUGCGGAGGGUGUUUCACUCUGGAGAAGAAGAAGAAGGACGAGUAUGGUGUGGUGGUGACGGUGAAGGUCACGCACGAUUUCAUCGUCGGCGAAGAGACCAUGCACGUGAAAGUGAAAAUAGGGUAUGCUGAUGGUGGAGGAGAAAAAGGGUUGAAAGUUGAAGUGGAUGGACCAGUGAAGCUUACGAUGGAGUAUGUGAAACAUGUCGUUUCCAGAUCGGAGAGGAAGAUGUGGACUGCGAUUGAGAAGGCAAGUACCGAUGGAGACGGCGGCGCCGUUGACUCCGGCCGCAAGAGAAUACAAAUGGACGCCCUAACAAAUUUGGAAAUAGAACCACACACUGUUGUCCCUUGUAAUAAAUAUGCUCCGUACAUUAAAGAGUAGGGAGUGGAAAUCUUUUAUAAAAUAAUUAAACUAAAUAUAUUUGAAUUUUAAAUUAUUAAGUAAAAAAAAUGUAAUUUAAAUAUUAUUAUUUUGAGUCGUGUGUAUUUUUUUAUUAUGUAUGUCAAAAUAUAAUCACUAAACAUCUCAGGAUUACUUUUAGUGAGUUUAGAUAUAUGUAAAUGGAAUGGAUUACCCUGUAUUCCUAAUAACAAAAAAUACCUUAAGGGAGUGAAUAAUAUCUUUGUUACAAAAUUUAUUGAAGAUUCAAUGUGUAUAUUUUGCAUGUAUAACUAUUAAAGUAUUAUAGAAUUCCACUAGUUUAUUUGUUAUUUAUAAAAUGUAUUCUCAAUCAAAAGAAAACAAAUAAUAGAAAAAGAGAUCACUUCAAUUCUAAAAUUAUUUUUUUAUAAAAUGUUUGAUAUAAAAAAUAUCACCCUAUGAAAUAUAACCAACAAAGUAGUGUUGGGGUUAGGUUCUUACAACAAGUUUAAAAUUAAAAUGGAAAACUAUGAACACAAGUACUUCAACAUCUAACAACAUAUUUUAAUAGUUCUUCUCUCCGUUUCAUUCAUCUUCUCGAUCACUGUAUGAAGUCUUUUGGUUUUUUAUAAGGUUUUUUUUUUUCACUUAAACCAAUCCCUUCUUUAUUUUAAGCACAAAUUCACUUAUUUGCAUUCAGCAUGAAUAUUAUCUACGAAUUUGGAUUCUGAAUUACUAAUGAUAUCAAUGCAUGGGUAUUACUCAUGAUAUUAAUCAAUGGGUAUUAUCUGUAGAUAUACAUCCACCCAUAUAUAUAGAUCCAUGGAUAUUACUCCAAAGAUAAAGAUCCAAGGAUAUGGAUUUAUGUAGAUAAAUUUAUGUACGAAUCUAGUUGUAUGUAAAUUUAUUCAUGGACCUAUAUGCAUGACUAAUAUUAAUAAUAUUUUUUAUUAAUUUAUUAAUUAUUAAUAAAUGUUAUUUUUAUCAUUAAUAUUAAUCUUUUUAUUAAUAUUGUUAGUAUUGUAAUUAAUGUUAACUAAUAUUUUAAAUAUCUUUAUGUCAUUAUUUUUCAAUGUUAUUAAUAUUAUUAUUAGUGUUAUUAUUAAUAAUAAUAAUAUCAACAUUAUUAUUGGUAUUGUUAUAACUCUUGAAGAAAUAGUAUUCCUCCCUUUACAAAAUAUCUCUCUAUAAUAAUAUAUAUUAGAAUUUUAAAUUAAAAAAAUAUAUAUUAUUUUAAGUUAUCAAAUGUGUAUUUUCUGUAUAAUGAAUCAAAAUAUCACAACUAAAACAUCUCUGAACCUUACUACAGCUUUAAUAAUAUAAUAAUACAUAUUAAAAUUUUAAAUUAAAAAAUAAAAUAAAUAUAAUUAAAAUAUUAUGAUUUGCAGUUGUCAAAUGUGUAUAUGAUGAAUGUAAAAAUAUAACAACUCAAACAUCUCCGAGAUGAGGUCUGAUGAUACUGAAUAAUGUCUUUUAUUACAAAAAGUUUAUUAAAGAUUCAAUGUGUAUACAAGGGGUUUGACUUUGCUACACUAAUAGGUUUUCAAGUGGGAGAGGGAAAGGUAAGGAAAGGUAAGGAAAGGUAAGGUUGUCUUCAUGGCUGAUACUUCGUUUUUCUUCACUAAUAUUCUGCCUGGUCAUGAAGAAAAGGAGCUUUGGAAUAUUUUUUAAAGACGGGGUAGAGUUUUGGAUGUUUUCAUACCCAAAAAACUUAAUUAUAGAAAACAACGCUUCGGGUUUGUGAGGUUCCAAGGGGUGAGGGAUGUUUGUGAGUUAGAAAGAAGGUUGGAUGCUAUUUGGAUUGGGUUAUGGAAAUUACGUGUGAACAUAGCCAGAUACCGUAAGAAAGAACCGCCAAAGGAAGCGCGUAAUCAGAACCGGAGGGUGGAGGGCUCUAAAAAAGUUUGGAGCCAGAAGGAGAUGCACCGUUCAUUCACAAAAGUGGUUAUGUCUGGGAGUGCGAGUUUGCCUCAGGGAAAAAAGAGUGAUGGUGAACAAAAGGAGCUCGAAUUUGAUUUGCCUUGUUUUAAGGUGGACGUGGAGCCAUCAUUGUUGCUCGAGAGUUGUUUUAUUGGGAGGUUCUUGGAACUGUCUAAUUUUCAGGCAGUUAAGGAGAGUGUUGUGGUGGGUGGUUAUGGUUCGUUAAGUCUUAGCUAUCUUGGAGAGAAUUUUAUGCUGCUAGCUGGUGAUGGUGAGAUUUCUGUCGCGAAGGUCAUUGAUGAUAACAAAGAGUGGUUAAGGGAUAUCUUUGAUUCUCUUGUCCCAUGGGAUAAUUCUUUCUCCGUCUCUGGUAAAAGUUGCUUGGGUUCGAAUUAGGGGUUUACCAUUGAUGUUUUGGAAUAGACAAUGCUUUGAACUCAUUGGGGAGUUAGUAGGAAAGUUUAUUGAGGUGGAUGAGGCGACGGAGGCACGAGAGAUUAUUGAGUUUGCUAGAUUACGGAUCAAGAUUCCAGCGGGCGGGAAUGCAAAUGUGGUAAAAAGUAUUAUUAUAAAUGAUUAUCGGUGUCGGAUAACCUUUGAAGAAGAUACGUGUCAUCGUUUUUCUCAGCUUGGUUGCAGUAAGUGCAUGGAAUGGGGGCAACUGUCUGAGGGGAGUUCGGAGGCACGCUACUUAGUCACUGAUGAUGAAGAUGUGGUUGAGUCCGUGUUUUUGGACAUUGGAGGAGAAGAUGAUGGAGCUAAGGGCAACUUAGUUUUAUUAGAAGAUCCAGAGUUCAUAGAUUUUUCUUCUAAAGUUGGUGUAGACCUAAAAGAGGGAGUAAUGACUGUUUUGGGAAGCCAAAACAAUGAGUGGGAAAGGUUGGGAAGCCAAAACCGUGCAUGGGAAAGAAUGGAGAUGGGCGGCGCAUUUAAGGGGGUCCAAAACCAUGUGUCAAGUGGUGUAAAUGAGAGUAGUUCUGGAAAAGAAGGGGGGUGGUCUGAUGAGUUUUUCUGUGUUGGGCCUACUUUGGCCCAAGUACACGUGGUUGGUGGGGCGGAGCAGCCAUUGGUUUCAGACCCAUUUGCAGACGUGGCAGACCAUGUAGGUUUCCUUGCAACAUGCGACUUUGGGGUGGGCGGAGAAGUGUAUCCAAGCGGCGUUGCCCUUGGUGGUACGCCAGCCAGCGACGACGCGGUGGCUCUGACAAUGUCAAAUACUCUACCUACGAAGGGGUGGUCGAAUAAAGCGGAGAUGAAGGUUGACGGCGACACCGUUAGUUACGUCAACGAUAAUAGUGACGACGCCUCUUGGGCACCUACUGGGUGCGUCGCCGUGUGACGAGGUGGCAGCGGCACCCGUUUAUAGAGACAAAGGGCUCGAGGUCACCGGCGGAAGAGGUCUAGGUUACGACGAGCAUUUGGGUGGUUCGCCGGCGGUGGAGGGUUUGUCUGCAACGGCGGACGGAGGAGAAGUUGACGGUGCUAAUAGGAGUGUCGGGAAGGAGUCAGUAGGGGCGGUUGAGAUGGUGUUUUCGACGGAGGCAGCAGGUGGAAAAAGACUUGGCAACACUUUAUCUAAAACCAGCCUUAAGAAUAUGAGAAAGAAAGUCGCUCUGUCCUCGCUGGCGGGUAAAAGGUUAGAAACUACUGUCUCUUCUAUUUCUGACAAUGAUGUAAGGAACUGUAAUAAUCGUUAUUGGCUGGAAAAUAAGGAAUCGAAAGCCCAAAAAAUUUGGAACAUGGGAAAAGUUUUGGGGUUUUCGUUUGCUGGGAAGGAAGAAGUGGUAGUUAAAAAUUUGCAAGCCUUGGAAGCUCGGGACAGAGAUAACAUGUUGCUCAAAAGGAAGGAGAGUGUAGUUUCUGAUGAUGAAAAUAAUUAGUUUGAAUGUGAAGGGGUUAGGAGGAAGUAACAAAAGAAGAUAUCUAAAGGAGUUGAUUUUCAAAGAACAGGUAGGAAUGGUGUGUAUUCAAGAGACUAAGUGUUCUGAGUUCGGAGAAGAGAAUUGCUUCAAUAUGUGGGGUUCUAAUGAAAUAGACUGGAUUGAAAUUGGGUCUAUCAAUAAUGUUGGUGGGAUUAUUACUUUAUGGAGGAGGAGUUGUUUCCAUUUAUUAAGCUCUGUUAAUGGGAAUAAUUUCUCGAUUAUUGAAGGGGUAUGGAAGGUUGGUGACGGAGUAAGAGUAACUAUUGUGAAUGUUUAUAGCUCAGGUUCUCUGAAGGAAAAGAAAGCGAGUUGGGAUGAAAUUAAUGCUCAUAGAGCGUGUCAGUUAAACAGGAUCUGGUGUGUAGUAGGGGACUUCAACUCAAUCAGAACAAAGGAGAAGAGGAAAAGUUUGGCUAUGGGCUUGAAUUAUAAUAGAGAAAUGCGGGAUUUUAAUGAGUUUAUUGGAAAGGCUGAAUUAAUAGACAUUCCGAUGGUUGGUCAGAAAUUCACUUGGUAUAAACCGAAUGGUACUGCUAAAAGUAGAAUUGAUAGAGUCCUUGUCUCUAAGGAAUGGAUGGAGGAGUGGUCGAACAGUAAGUAGUUCGUACUUAGUAUAUCUAUUUCAGAUCAUUGUGCUUUGGUAAUUAAAGAUUCCUGUCCAGAUUGGGGUCCGAAACCUUUUUGCAGUCUGGAUGUCUGGCAAAAAGACAACAAGUUCCGAGAGUUUGUUCGAAGUAAAUGGCUUAGUUAUGAAGUUUACGGUAGGGGUUUGUUUGUCUUCAAAGAAAAAUUGAAGAAGCUAAAAUAUGAUUUAAAAGUAUGGAACAGAGACGUGUUCGGAGAUGUUAAUCUGAAAGGGGAGAUUUUAAAAAAGAAAAUUGAGGAUUUUGAUGCUCGAGAUGAUGCUGGUGUCUUAGAUGAGGAAGGCAGAGUGGAGAGGAGGUAUUUGCUAGCAGAACAAAAUGAAAAUGCUUUUAGACAAGAAACAAUUAUUCAUCAGAAAGCUCGCCUUAAGUGGUUAAAAAAUUGUGACCUUAAUUCAAAGUUUUUUCAUUCGACUGUUAAAUGGAGGAGGGCAAGAAACGGAAUUAAUUGACUAGUAGUUGAUGGUUGUGGAGUGAAGAUAAGGAGGUGGUUAAAGGUAAGGUUAGGGACUUCUUCAAUGCCAGAUUUGAAAGUGUUGAUGGGCUUCAAGUCAGGUUGGAUAAUGUGCCUUUCAAUUCUAUCUCUGCUGCUAAUAAUGAGAUGUUGGUCAGUACUUUCUCCGAAGAGGAAGUCAAGGAGACUGUUUGGGAUUGUGAAAGCUCGAAAAGUCCUGGUCCGGAUGGAUUUAACUUUGGGCUCAUCAAGUUUUGUUGGGAGUUUAUUAGGGAGGAUAUCCUGCUGGUCGUAAACGAUUUUGCUAUAGUCGGAAAAUGGCCUAGGGGGACAAAUGCGUCGUUCGUGUGUCUGGUCCCUAAGCUGGAGAAUCCACAAAGUUUAUGUGAUUUUAGACCUAUUUCUCUGGUUGGAUGUCUAUAUAAGAUCAUACCGAAGUUGCUAUCUCUGAGGCUUAAAAAGGUGAUGAGUAAAAUCAUUGACUCGAGACAGUCUACGUUUCUAGCUGGUAGGGAAUUUUGGAUAGUGUGUUGGUGGCCAAUGAAGUCUUAGAGGAGGCAAAAAGGAGGAAGAAGAACUGCUUAUUUUUCAAAGUGGAUUAUGAGAAGGCUUAUGAUUCGGUAAGGUGGGAUUUCAUCAGUUAUAUGCUUGAAAGAUUAGGUUUUUGUGAACAAUAGAUUGCUUGGAUUAAAUCUUAUCUGGAGUCUGCAACGGUAUCUGUGUUGGUUAAUGGCAGUCUGACUAAGGAAUUCGUUCCUUCAAAGGGUUUGAGACAGGGUGAUCCUUUGGCUCCGUUUCUUUUCCUUGUUGUAGCUGAAGGUUUAGCAGGAGUGGUAAGGAAUGUUGUCUUGUUUGACUGGGUGGAGAGUGUGGAGGUUGGGAGGAAUAAGGUUAAGGUUAAUAUGCUUCAGUAUGCAGAUGAUACCUUGUUCUUCUGCAAAGCAACAACCAAAAGUGUUUUCUGUUUAAAAUCUAUUCUGACUUGCUUUGAGCUGGCUUCAGGUCUAAGUGAACUUUCUGAAGAGUAGUAUUGGAGGUGUGGGGUUGAUACUUUCACGAUCAGUUGUUUCGCAAAAAUGCUUAACUGUGAAGUGAUGAAUUAUCCUUUCAAGUAUCUUGGGUUUCCUGUUGGGGGAUGUCACAAAAAGGAAGCGUUUUAGGAUGGGGUGGUUGAGAAGAUAAAGGAAAGACUGGGAAGAUGGAAAGGCAGAUUUAUCUCGAUGGCAAGAAGAAUUUGUCUGAUUAAAUCUAUUCUCUCUGCUAUCCCCUUGUUCUAUACGUCUUUGUUUAAAAUCUCUGCUAUUGCUAGGAAGAAGAUUGUGAAAAUUCAAAGAAACUUCCUAUGGGGUUGGAGGUCAGGUGGGCGAAAGAUUGCGUGGGCUUCUUGGGAGAAGGUGUGCGAACCCCGUGGAAAUGGUGGUCUCGGGGUUAUUAAUAUUAAAUUUUUCAACAUUGCUUUGUUGGGGAAAUGGAUUUAGAGGUUGGGUUUUUCCAAAGGUGGUCUGUGGGAGGAGGUGGUAGAAUCUAAGUACGGGGGUUGGAGAAAGUUGAAAGGGCCAAGUUCAAAAACGAUGGGGUCCCUUUGGUGGCGGGAGCUAAAGGCGAUUUGGUCGAUGGAGGAAUGGGGGAGAGAGUUCGACGACCGUUUCAAUUGAAAAGUCGGUAAUGAGAAGGAAAUUAGGUUUUAGGAAGAUAAAUGGGUGGGCGAUUUGGAGUUGAAAAACAAAUUCCCAAGGUUAUACUCUCUUUGUAGGGAUGAAGAUGAGUUGUUGGAAUGUUGUGGGGUCUGGGAAGAAGGAGAGUGGAACUGGAAGUUUGGGUGGAGAAGAAAUUUAUUUGAUUGGGAGAAGUCUCAGGUAGACCAACUUUUUGAAGAAAUUAGAGGUUUGAGUAUUGAUUCGGAUAUUAAUGACUCGUGGGUUGUUGUUCUUUUUGCCCCUUGUUUUGGUUGCAGUAAGUUUGUAUUGGGUUUGUUUUGAGUUUGUAUGGGUUUGUUUUGAGUUUGUACGGGUUUGUACGGGUUUUUUAGUGGUAGAUUUUUUUGUCUCUCUCAUUUUGUUGGUUUAGGAGACCUGAAAUUUGAUUCAUAUUAUAUAGGUACGUAUAAGGGUUGACUCACCCCUUAAAUGGUUCCUGUUAUUCAAUUCUUAUUGCUAAUAAAAAAAAUGUGUAUACAAGACUUAUUUAGUGGUAUUACUUUUUUACAUUUUUAACUAUUAAAGCAUUCUUAAAUAAUUCUAAAAGUUAUUUGCUAUCUAUUAAAUAUGUUCUAAAUUAAAAUAAUAAUAAAAUAAUAGAAAGAAAGAUCACUUCCAUCCUAAAAUUAUUUUUCUUUGAUUUUAAAUUUGAUAUACAAAAUAUUGCACCUAUGAAAUAUAAACAACAAAGUAGUAAUGAAGAGUUUUAUAAACUGAUUUUAUUAGGUCGAGUUAGUCUUAAAAUUCAGUUCUUAAUAAAAGUUUUUUCUAACAUAAAAAUCGUAGUAAGUAUUUUCAAAUAAAAAAUCAUUAAAUAGAAAUCAAUUUUAUAUGAAAAAAUAAUUAAUUAUUAUAUUAACUAAAUUAGUUUUUAUUAUUGAUAAAUAAUUUCUAAAUUAAUUUAUAUUUAAAUGAUUUUCCUGUAAUAAUAUUUUAUUUUAUGUCGUUAUGGAAAAUCUAAGUCCAUGAAUGCACGUUUCUCUUUAAUUGGAAAACAAAAAAUAAUUCAGUUUUCUUCCUUUUAAUUUUCCGAAAUUAAAAUAUUAAAUAUCAAGUUCUCAUCUAGCCAGAAAGAGAAUAAACGCAAUAAGAAGAAAAGAAAUAUAAGAAUUAUACUCCCACUGUGAUUAUUCUAUUAAGAUCAUAAAGGAUAGAUGCUCCUUUCUAGCAUGAUAUUGAUAAUUAUAAUGUAUUAUUCUAUAUUGAUAAUAUAGGAUCGAUUCUCUUUUUUUAUUGGAUACAAUAUAUUAUUUUCAAUUUAGAAAAAAAAUAUUUUGAUAACUUUCUACCUAUCUUAAUUUGACUAUUUUAAAUAUAUAUAUAUAUAAGUAAAUUUUAAAACACCAUCACUUUGUUCAAGAUAAGAAAAAAAAAAUAAUUAUUUUUUAUCAGUAAAAAAUAAAUAAAUAAUAAAGAUAUUUCAAGGAUACUUCAAUCCUUAUACAAGUAAGUCAUCAUGUGAUUCCAAACAUAAAACAUAUCAAAGACAGAAUUCCAAAUCAGAUUAGAGUAGCACAAUCAUAACAACCUAAGACUUCUAACAUCCAAAAAUAAAAUCAACACAAAAACUAAUCCAAACUAACUACAUAUAUCUAUCAACAUACCUUGCAAUUCAUCUAAACCCAUCUUUUGUUUGUUCAACCACCUAAAGCUUUAUGAUAGAUUUCAUGCAUAUCAGCGGCUUAAGGCACCAGUUAGAAUACGAUAAGCUUGCAAGACGAACCUUGAAAGUCACCCAUGACCAAACCUUCAAUUGUGUCAUUAUGAAAGUCUCAAUAUGGUCUAUCCUACCAUUUUUAAAAAUGAUAUUGUUCCUAUGCUUCCACAAUUCGUCUACCACUGUUAUCCACACACAUUAUCAAAUCUGAUUACCAAUUUUAUUGAGUCCACUCAACUUAAAAUUUAUAAAAUGCCUUUUUGGUUCCCAAUGAUUUGUCGACGCUAACCCUAUCCACUCAUAGCACAUAGACCACAUGAGUCAAGCAACUCUACAAGUGCAAAAAACAUGGGACAUUGUUUCCUCUUCCUCCCCACACAAACUGCAAAUGUUACUUACUAUACUGAUCCUUAUUCUCUCCAAAAUCGCUUUAGUCGCUAACUUAUCUUCCAUGACCCUCCAUGUUGUGAAGUGAGAUGAAGGUUACCUUUAUCCCCAAAAAACUCUAAUACAUGGUCACUUCUUCUUUUAUCGGCAAGAAGCAAUACAAUUAAAUAGACCCACUUCAUGGGUGGUCUAACCCUUAUACAGAAUACAAGAGUUCAAAGAGUACUUUUCCAUAUACAUAUCAAACCAAAAUGUAACCUCCUACUGUCUGCCUCAACACUACCAACUAAAGUAGAAUUAGAAAUAUCAAGGAUCAACCCUUAUAAAGACAUUAAAUCAAAUGCAUACAUACCAAGGGUUCUAGGCACCCGUCAGAGAACGAGAAGCUCGCUGACAGUAUCUUUGAAUAGAUCUAGGACCAAACCUUAACCUGUGCUAGGGAAAAAACUUCAGUAUGAUCAACCACUCCACACCUUUAAAUAAACAAUUAUUCAUGUGUCUCCAAAUCUCACUAACCAAUGCAAUCCAGACAUUGUCCAUAAUAAAAUUAACUGAAGUAGACGCAUCUAGAAUCUUGAAAUGGUCAAAAUGAGACCCAGGAUCAAUAAGGUCGACCGAACGCACCCCUAACCUGUUAUAACAAUUAUUCCAAAUUAGCCAAGCAACUCUACAUCCGAAGAACAAAUGGUUUGUUGACUCCUCUGGUAUCCUGCACAAGCAACAAAGAUUGCUUUCGACCCCUAUACCUCGUCUCUUCAGAUUUACCAUACAAGCAACCUUGUUUUCAAUAACUCUCCAAGUUGUGACUAGGGAUGACAAAGCGAGGCGGGCCGUGCAGGCCGGCCCGCAGCCCGCUGGUAAAAAACGCGAGGCGGCUUAACCUUUUCAACCCGCUAACCCGCAAGAAAAAAAAUGGAUGAAAGUUCUUCUAAGACGGCAUCCAAUGUUAUUGAAAUGGAAGAAUGUCAAUAAUGUUUAUGUUUAAUGUUUUUGAAUUAAUGUUUAUGUUUAAUGUUUUGGAAUUAGGUAUUUUUAAUGUUUUGGAAGUGGAAGAAUAGUGAUAUUUGAUAUUUAUCUUAAUGUUUAAUGUUUUGAUGUUUGACUAUGUUUGAAAAGGAAGAAAAAAAAUUUAUGUUUGAUAGUAACAAAUAUAUAGGUUUAAUUUGAUAAUUUCUUAAGAACAAAAUGUAAACAAAAAAAUUAUAAAAAAAACGCAGGCUGGCCCGCAAACCCGCGGGCCAACUCUUAUGCGGGGCGGGUCGAGAAUUCUAGCCCCUAGUUGAGACGUGAGCUAAAGGAAACACCUUAAUCCUCCUGAAAAACUUGUACCUUCUCGAGUCUUCCUCGCAUCCCUCUCCCCUUAAAAAUCCAUAAGCAAACCUAACUAAAAACUAUGCUGACUCACUAUUCUUCCAAAACUCAUUUGUCUGCUUUUUCCAACUCAAGCCUCUGGUUGGAAAUCAUCUCUAAAAGUUGGCUUGCUUGAUCCUCCUCCCAAGCAAAAAAACCAUUUCUCCACCUUAAAUUCCACUCUCAGCAUUAACCCAUAUUUUGAGAAUCACAUAGAUUUGCCUCGAUAAGAAAAAUAACAUCUACUUUUGAAGUCUUUUACAUCUACUUUUGAAGUCUUUUUGAGAAUGCCCAUGCCCAAUUAUCUGACCCCAAAACUGAACAUCUUUCCCGUUUCCAACCUUCUAAUUCCGACAAUCUUCAAACUUCCCUCCUCAAACCUCCAAACUUUCAUUAAAUAUCUCCAUAAAAAAAUAUAACUUUGCUAAAUACAUCCAAUGGAUAAGAUUUUCUAGGUCUACGAUUAGAGAUGCUCUUCGUGGUUCUUUUAACAUAUAAUUCUUUGCCUUCUUUUAACACUUGGAAUCUGUGUGUAGGUUCAGUUUUACCUAUAAAGGAACAUGCAUGCAGGAAGACCGGAUUAGAGUCAGAGAGCUGAGAGAAAGAAAAAAGGUUAGAGUGAGAGCAGACGUUAAAGACAAUGGCAGGAAAUAAGAGCGUUGUGAGGUUCAUGUCUAGCGGUUAUCCGUUGGAAGUGAACACCAAAAUGCAGAAAUUGGAAGAUGAAGAUGGAACCACCGAGUUCACAUACUCCCUCGGUAACACCCACGUAACUAUGAAGAUAACCGAAAAGAUUUGCUCCUCCGGUGGUGUAAAACAAGUCUACAUCGACCUCUUCGAGAACAGUGGC